GACAGGAUGGUGUAGUGGUCUCAGUGCUGGACUGUGACUCUGGAGAUCAGGGUUCGAAUCCCUUCUCAGCCA